AUCCAGCUGAAGAGUCUCAAACAGGAUGAAACUCGCGUUCUGUAU
rfam:Schistosoma haematobium scaffold454_3, whole genome shotgun sequence.